rnacentral:rRNA from 1 species
AUUGAACGCUGGCGGCAGGCCUAACACAUGCAAGUCGAGCGGAGCGGCGGACGGGUGAGUAAUGCCUAGGAAUCUGCCUGGUAGUGGGGGCUAACGUCCGGAAACGGGCGCUCAUACCGCAUACUAGCAGAUGAGCCUAGGUCGGAUUUGCUAGUUGGUGGGGUAAAGGCCUACCAGGGCGACGAUCCGUAACUGGUCUGAGAGGAUGAUCAGUCACACGGGAGCUGAGACACGGUCCAGACUCCGACGGGAGGCAGCGGUGAGGAAUAUUGGACAAUGGGCGAAAGCCUGAUCCAGCCAUGGCGCGUGUGUGAAGAAGGUCUUCGGAUUGUAAAGCACUUUAAGUUGGGAAGCGUUACCAACAGAAUAAGCACCGGCUAACUUCGUGCCAGCAGCCGCGGUAAUUC